AGUUGGUACAGUUAUGGCACUUGGUACUACAGUCUUAACAGUUAGAGCAGCAGGUACGUUGUGUUGUGCUGCUGUCUGCCUCAGAGUUAGGUAGUCUGUAACAGUUUAAUCUAUGUAAGGCUGAAUUGUAUGUAAGGUGGGAUAUAAAUGCUGUAGAUAAAUAAAUAAAUACUGAGUGAUGUAUGGAAGUGAGAGCUGGACCAUAAAGAAGGCUGAUCGCCGAAGAAUUGAUGCUUUUGAAUUAUGGUGCUGGAGGAGACUCUUGAGAGUCCCAUGGACUGCAAGAAGAUCAAACCUCUCCAUUCUGAAGGAAAUCAGCCCUGAGUGCUCACUGGAAGGACAGAUCCUGAAGCUGAGGCUCCAAUACUUUGGCCACCUCAUGAGAAGAGAAGACUCCCUGGAAAAGACCCUGAUGGUGGGAAAGAUGGAGGGCACAAGGAGAAGGGGACGGCAGAGGACGAGAUGGUUCAACAGUGACCAACAUGAGUUUGACUAAACUGCGGGAGGCAGUGGAAGACAGGAACCUAUUUCAGGAAAUUUGGGGCUUUAAACAUUAUUACUGGCUCUUUAAAUUGAGCUUGGAAGCAAAUUGGCAACCAACACAAUUAUUAUAGGGCAGAUGUAAUGUGCUCUGGACCAUCAUGGUCCCAUCACCAUCUGGUGAACAGCCAUGCAUUGUAUCUGAGCUGUCUUUAAAGGCAGCUCCACAGAGAGAGCAUUGCAGCAGUCCAGACUGGAUUAUGCAUGAGGCCAGAUCUGCCAGAGGGUCCCUUGGCAUCCCCCCUGUUGUCGAAUGAACAAUAUUGAUUGUUCAUCCUGUGUUGCUUUUUUGUAUGUUAUGGAUCAGCAUAGCUCUGGCUGCAACGUUACACAAGUGCCUCAACUUUUUCUCCAUCCCUCGAGGAAUGUUGAGGACAGAAACGUCAAAACUGUGCCAAAGGCAGCCUUGCGUCUACUUUGAAUUUUGUGCGUUUGCUGUAGUACGUAGUUGUUGUGUUUUGUUUCUCCUCCCUUCACAGUUAUUUUGCAGGAUGGGGCGUGCGUUGGCUUCAGAGAACUCAGUGGAAAGAACAUGAGAAACCAAUAACCACAAAAAUAACACUUGGGUGAGGCUGAGCCGGCCCGAGAUUCGCGAUGACAUGUCAGUUUAAACCAUGGAGUUUUCUGUCAUGUUGAUUUUAUUUGGGUGUUCUUUUUACCCUUAAGAAAACAACAACAGCCCUACUUGGCAGGUGUAUACUGUGAAGAAUGCAAACAUAAUAAAGUGUCUUUGAUAUUCUCAC